UGAUGAUCCUCAAGUACUUGGCCAUGAUUGCAACCUGGGAGGAAAGGGAGCAACCUGAUAAGGCCCAGAAGACCCUGUAUGGGGAGGUAUUUGUAGAGACCUGUGGGCUCCUGGUCUCACUGAGGCAUCUUCUUCCCAAAUCGGAACUGAGCUACCUGAUGGCAAAUGAGCAGGAUUAUUGUGUGGUGAAGAGAAACCUCUCCUAAAGUUCCUGUCCAGACACUUAGGUUGAUGCUUGUGAAUAAUGCUACAAUGAUCAUGAUAAUGCGGGUACAUCAUAGGACACUGGAGUAAAGUCCUUUGAAUGUAAAGCAUGUCGGAAAGCCUUUUGUGACAAACUAUCCUUAAUUGAAUAGAGAGCUCAGAGAUAAACUCCACAUAUUUAGAGCCAAUUGAUUUUUAACAAAGGCACUGAGAACACACCAUGGGAAAAGAACAGUCUCUUCAAUAAACGGUGUUGGAAAACAUGGCUAUCCGCAUGCAGAGGGAGGAACUUAGACCCUUAUCUCACACCAUAUACAAAAAUAAACUUAAAAUGAACUAAAGACUUAAAUAUAAGACCCAAAAACUGUGAAACUACUAGAAGAAAAUGUAGAGGAAAUGCUCCAUGACUUUGAUCUGAGUCACGACUUUUUGGAUAUGACCCCCAAAGUACAAGCAACAAAAGCAAAAAUAGUCAAAUGGGACCACAUCAAACUAAAAAGGUAUUGCACAGCAUAGGAAACAGUCAACAGAGUGAAGAGACAACCUGUUAGGCAGGAAUCUAGACCCAACAUGGAGGUAUCACCCGGCAUGGCAGGCCCUUUGUUAGGACUUCUCGCCCUUCACUUCCUGCUAAGACUCUCAGCGCAUGAAAAAAGCUCACUCCCGCCAAAAAACCCCUGCUCUGCACAAGCUCCUGGACACGUCAUUUCUCAGAAAUCGAAACCUAACUCAGGAAAACCGAAACCUACAAAUCCCGCCUACCUCGCCCUAUAAAAGGCCCGCCGGAUACCUGCCGCGAGCCCGACUUCC